rnacentral:rRNA from 1 species
UUAAAUUGAAGAGUUUGAUCAUGGCUCAGAUUGAACGCUGGCGGCAGGCCUAACACAUGCAAGUCGAGCGGAAACGAGUUGUCAGAACCUUCGGGGGACGAUAAUGGCGUCGAGCGGCGGACGGGUGAGUAAUGCCUAG